rnacentral:lncRNA from 1 species
GGAUUUUCCAGGUCUCCCUGUGACUCAGGGCUCCGGGUUCCUGCUGCCUCCCGACGGGAGCGCUGCGAGAGCCCGUGGCCUGUUGCACACCGAGCGCCGUGCACGAAUAGGCGUGCAAUACCUUGUUUUUCGUGAGUGAAGAACCUUUAGGGAAUUCGAUUUCGAGGGAGGGACUUCUCAAAGAGACAAAGUCCCCUAGAGGUGACUGUCACUGAGAGUGAGUGCCUGGGUCUGAAUAAAUCCAUUUGGAAUCUCCAUCACCCCCAAGUAAUCUGCAUUCUCCUUUCAGUCCAGUGGAUGUCUGGGCCUUCCUUUUCUGGAUUGUUUCCUCACGCCCAAGUCAGGAGGUCACUCCUGGAGGUUACUGAAAGGCAUUUCGUUUACUCAUUAACAACUAAUUGCUGUUGUCAUUUCACUGGAUACACCUGACGAUGUCUUGCAACACAGCCUACACAAGGAGGACCUUCCUAAAUGGAAGCUAGUGUUUUAUUCAUCAGCAAACAUCAGCCAGCUACCAUGCGGCUAGGGACAAGGAGCACAAAAUAAGUGACAGCUACAGCUUUUCACAGCUACAGUUAACUGGAUGAAACAGACAUGAACAACCGACAAUGAUACAGUGAUGGAGAGAAAUGGGGAGAUCUCAGAAGAGUCACAGAAGACCUUGAUCUAGGGUUCCAGUUUGUUGGGCAAAGAGAUGGGGAAGGACAUUGCAGACAGAGGGAACAGUGUGUGCAAAGGCAUGAAAACGAAUGUAUUUUCUAGCACAGUUUUCAGUGUAAGUGCAGUCACAUAGCUGCUCUAUUUUCUGUCCUUACAUCUUAUUCCAUUAAAAGUUGGUAAAGAUGGUAAGAAGAUACUUGCCCACUUAAAAGUCAUCAGGCACUAUUUUGUUCUAAGGCCGUGGGCCAGCCCUUAUAUUGAACUUAAGGUGUACCUUGAUAUCCCUUUCAUCGUGUGUCGGAUCCGUCAAAAAUACUAUCUUCUAAAGCGAUCUGGAACAAAUAGAUGGGAAAUUUCAAACAACUCUGCAGAGACAAGAGAUGAAAUUCGGUGA